rnacentral:rRNA from 1 species
UAGACCGAUAGCGAACAAGUAGAGUGAUCGAAAGAUGAAAAGCACUUUGGAAAGAGAGUUAAAAAGCACGUGAAAUUGUUAAAAGGGAAGGGAUUGCAACCAGACUUGCUCGCGGUGUUCCGCCGGUCUUCUGACCGGUCUACUCGCCGCGUUGCAGGCCAGCAUCGUCUGGUGCCGCUGGAUAAGACUUGAGGAAUGUAGCUCCCUCGGGAGUGUUAUAGCCUCUUGUGAUGCAGCGAGCGCCGGGCGAGGUCCGCGCUUCGGCUAGGAUGCUGGCGUAAUGGUUGUAAUCCGCCCGUCUUGAAACACAGACCAAGA